rnacentral:rRNA from 1 species
AUUGAACGCUGGCGGCAGGCUUAACACAUGCAAGUCGAGCGGGGGAAGGUAGCUUGCUACCGGACCUAGCGGCGGACGGGUGAGUAAUGCUUAGGAAUCUGCCUAUUAGUGGGGGACAACAUCUCGAAAGGGAUGCUAAUACCGCAUACGUCCUACGGGAGAAAGCAGGGGAUCUUCGGACCUUGCGCUAAUAGAUGAGCCUAAGUCGGAUUAGCUAGUUGGUGGGGUAAAGGCCUACCAAGGCGACGAUCUGUAGCGGGUCUGAGAGGAUGAUCCGCCACACUGGGACUGAAACACGGCCCGGACUCCUACGGGAGGCAGCAGUGGGGAAUAUUGGACAAUGGGGGGAACCCUGAUCCAGCCAUGCCGCGUGUGUGAAGAAGGCCUUAUGGUUGUAAAGCACUUUAAGCGAGGAGGAGGCUACUCUAGUUAAUACCUAGGGAUAGUGGACGUUACUCGCAGAAUAAGCACCGGCUAACUCUGUGCCAGCAGCCGCCGUAA